rnacentral:rRNA from 1 species
UACCUGCAGCUCAAGUGGUGGCCGUUAUUAUUGGGCCUAAAACGUCCGUAGCCGGUUUAUUAAAUGCCUGGGUAAAUCGGGCCGCUUAACGGUUCGAAUUCCGGGUAGACUGAUAGACUUGGGACCGGGAGAGGCUAGAGGUACUCCUGGGGUAGAGGUGAAAUUCUGUAAUCCUAGGGGGACCACCAGUGGCGAAAGCGUCUAGCUAGAACGGGUCUGACGGUGAGGGACGAAGCCCUGGGGCGCAAACCGGAUUAGAUACCCGGGUAGUCCUGGGUGUAAACGCUGCUUGCUUGAUGUUAGUCGGGCUCCGAGCCCGAUUAGUGUCGGAGAGAAGUUGUUAAGCAAGCUGCCUGGGAAGUACGGCCGCAAGACUGAAACUUAAAGGAAUUGGCGGGGAGCACAGCAACGGGUGGAGCGUGCGGUUU